rnacentral:tRNA from 5 species
GCAGGGGUUCCCGAGUGGUCAAAGGGGGCGGACUCAAGAUCCGCUGUCAAGCGCUUCGCAGGUUCGAAUCCUGCCCCCUGCACCA